AACGAACGCUGGCGGCAGGCUUAACACAUGCAAGUCGAGCGCGUGGCAACACGAGCGGCAGACGGGUGAGUAACGCGUGGGAAUCUACCGGACCCUACGGAAUAACGCAUGGAAACGUGUGCUAAUACCGUAUACGCCCUACGGGGAAAGAUUUAUCGGGGUUUGAUGAGCCCGCGUUGGAUUAGCUAGUUGGUGGGGUAAAGGCCUACCAAGGCGACGAUCCAUAGCUGGUCUGAGAGGAUGAUCAGCCACAUUGGGACUGAGACACGG
rnacentral:rRNA from 1 species